rnacentral:lncRNA from 1 species
CCUCGUGUAAGAUUAUGGAAAUGCCAUGCAAGAGGCAUAACACGGUAAUUUGCAGGUUGGGAUGAAAAAACCAUUAAUGCUCAAUUUCUGCAUAUUGAGUUAUUAUGUGCAAGUUAUUAACAGUGUAAUUGUUCAGCUCAGAUGCUGGUGGCAAGAGAUUUCAGAUGAUAAAUAUGUCUCCAGCAUAACUCAAUUCUUUUCACUAGAGUUUGACUAAAGGACAAAUUAGGUCCCUGAUGUCCGGGAAUGAAUUUGGUGGAAGCAGCCUGUAUCAAAGGGCCUGGGGAUUUGAGAUUGUAGGGUACAAGAUGAACAUAAAUAUUUCAUGGUGGAGAAUAGUCUUGACCCCUCACAGAAAACCUUCUGGUACAGGAUUCAAAUAUGCAGCAUCGCUGAUUCUUUUUGCAUGCACCAUCCUCAUGUAACAUUGAAACUACCUGCUCUGUUUUCAGUUUUGGAAAUAAGGAGUAAUUGUCACUUCAAAUUUGACCUGCUGGAGCAGACACAGUUCCAUUAAGACACAAUUCUUCAACCAUUAUCAAUGCUCAGUACAAAAACCGUCCCCUUCCUCAUUAUUUCACAGCUAGAUUGUUAAACAUCUUAAGCCAUUUUGGAGGAAUAAUAAAAACAAAAAGAUAUCAAGAAAUCAACUUUAUCUCCCGAAAAAACAGGGAGGAAUGAAUUUCCCUAGUGCCUUCCACCAUCAUCUCACUCUUAUCAUGAAGGAGGGACUGUGCUGGCUUGCUGAAAAGAAAAAUGGGAGGGAGGAGAAUGCAGCCACUGGGGAGGCUGGAGCUCCCUAAAUGUAAUUUCCAUAUCUCAUUAUUUGCAGGCUGUGUCCCGAUCGGGCCGAGUACCCUUUGGAGAAGUUUUGCUCCAGAUGCAUCAGCUCAGGGCGGCUGCUGCUACCGAGGAGUCCCGAGAUGCUCCGGCCUUCUCCAUGUACUACAGGGGACUCACGGUGCAUUCCGGGAGCCAAACGCGUGACUCAGAUCUCUGUUUCUCCAGCGGCUCGAACUGCACGCUGCUGGGAGCUCUGCACAACCAAAACUGUGCCGGACCCAGCAAAACCUCUCCUGGUCAGUGGCGGAGGAAGCACAAGCACACGUAGCUCUGCACGGCUACCCCACAGAGAACCUGGCCCUGAUUCUGCUGUCAUGCUGGUGCAGAAGAGCAAUUCAACUGGUGUCAGAGGAUUUCCAUUGACAUAAAUCUAGUGUUUUGCCUCCCCCUCACAAUUUCUGCCAAAAGCUCUGGAUUGCUGUGGUCAAUGGCAUCUCUGAAGGACACACGGGCUGACAGACA